UGUUUUAUGUAAACCAUGAGAAGAUGAGGUAAGAUGUUUUAUAUAAACCAUGGGAAGAUGAGGUAAGAUGUUUUAUAUAAACCAUGGGAAAGUUUACAGUAAGAUGUUUUAUAUAAACCAUGGGAAGGUUUAGGGUAAGAUGUUUUAUAUAAACCAUGAGAAGGUUUACGGAAAGAUGUUUUAUAUAAACCAUGGGAAGAUGAGGUAAGAUGUUUUAUAUAAACCAUGGGAAGAUGAGGUAAGAUGUUUUAUAUAAACCAUGGGAAGGUUUACGGUAAGAUGUUUUAUAUAAACCAUGGGAAGAUGAGGUAAGAUGUUUUAUAUAAACCAUGGGAAGAUGAGGUAAGAUGUUUUAUAUAAACCAUGGGAAGAUGAGGUAAGAUGUUUUAUAUAAACAAUGGGAAGAUGAGGUAAGAUGGUUUAUAUAAACCAUGGGAAGGUUUACGGUAAGAUGUUUUAUAUAAACCAUGGGAAGGUUUACGGUAAGAUGUUUUUUAUAAACCAUGGGAAGAUUUACGGUAAGAUGUUUUAUAUAAACCAUGGGAAGGUUUACGGUAAGAUGUUUUAUAUAAACCAUGGGAAGGUUUACGGUAAGACGUUUUAUAUAAACCAUGGGAAGGUUUACGGUAAGAUGUUUUAUAUAAACCAUGGGAAGGUUUACGGUAAGAUGUUUUAUAUAAACCAUGGGAAGGUUUACGGUAAGAUGUUUUAUAUAAACCAUGGGAAGAUGAGGUAAGAUGUUUUAUAUAAACCAUGGGAAGAUGAGGUAAGAUGUUUUAUAUAAACCAUGGGAAGAUGAGGUAAGAUGUUUUAUAUAAACCAUGGGAAGAUGAGGUAAGAUGUUUUAUAUAAACCAUGGGAAGGUUUACGGUAAGAUGUUUUAUAUAAACCAUGGGAAGGUUUACGGUAAGAUGUUUUAUAUAAACCAUGGGAAGAUGAGGUAAGAUGUUUUAUAUAAACCAUGGGAAGGUUUACGGUAAGAUGUUUUAUAUAAACCAUGGGAAGAUGAGGUAAGAUGUUUUAUAUAAACCAUGGGAAGGUUUACGGUAAGAUGUUUUAUAUAAACCAUGGGAAGGUUUACGGUAAGAUGUUUUAUAUAAACCAUGGGAAGGUUUACGGUAAGAUGUUUUAUAUAAACCAUGGGAAGAUGAGGUAAGAUGUUUUAUAUAAACCAUGGGAAGAUGAGGUAAGAUGUUUUAUAUAAACAAUGGGAAGAUGAGGUAAGAUGUUUUAUAUAAACAAUGGGAAGAUGAGGUAAGAUGUUUUAUAUAAACAAUGGGAAGAUGAGGUAAGAUGUUUUAUAUAAACCAUGAGAAGAUGAGGUAAGAUGUUUUAUAUAAACCAUGGGAAGAUGAGGUAAGAUGUUUUAUAUAAACCAUGGGAAGAUGAGGUAAGAUGUUUUAUAUAAACCAUAGGAAGAUGAGGUAAGAUGUUUUAUAUAAACCAUGGGAAGAUGAGGUAAGAUGUUUUAUAUAAACAAUGGGAAGAUGAGGUAAGAUGUUUUAUAUAAACCAUGGGAAGAUGAGGUAAGAUGGUUUAUAUAAACCAUGGGAAGGUUUACGGUAAGAUGUUUUAUAUAAACCAUGGGAAGGUUUACGGUAAGAUGUUUUUAAUAAACCAUGGGAAGGUUUACGGUAAGAUGUUUUAUAUAAACCAUGGGAAGGUUUACGGUAAGAUGUUUUAUAUAAACCAUGGGAAGAUGAGGUAAGAUGUUUUAUAUAAACCAUGGGAAGGUUUACGGUAAGAUGUUUUAUAUAAACCAUGGGAAGGUUUACGGUAAGAUGUUUUAUAUAAACCAUGGGAAGAUUUACGGUAAGAUGUUUUAUAUAAACCAUGGGAAGGUUUACGGUAAGAUGUUUUAUAUAAACCAUGGGAAGAUUUACGGUAAGAUGUUUUAUAUAAACCAUGGGAAGAUUUACGGUAAGAUGUUUUAUAUAAACCAUGGGAAGGUUUACGGUAAGAUGUUUUAUAUAAACCAUGGGAAGGUUUACGGUAAGAUGUUUUAUAUAAACCAUGGGAAGGUUUACGGUAAGAUGUUUUAUAUAAACCAUGGGAAGAUUUACGGUAAGAUGUUUUAUAUAAACCAUGGGAAGGUUUACGGUAAGAUGUUUUAUAUAAACCAUGGGAAGAUGAGGUAAGAUGUUUUAUAUAAACCAUGGGAAGAUGAGGUAAGAUGUUUUAUAUAAACAAUGGGAAGAUGAGGUAAGAUGUUUUAUAUAAACAAUGGGAAGAUGAGGUAAGAUGUUUUAUAUAAACCAUGAGAAGAUGAGGUAAGAUGUUUUAUAUAAACAAUGGGAAGAUGAGGUAAGAUGUUUUAUAUAAACCAUGAGAAGAUGAGGUAAGAUGUUUUAUAUAAACAAUGGGAAGAUGAGGUAAGAUGUUUUAUAUAAACCAUAGGAAGAUGAGGUAAUAUGUUUUAUAUAAACCAUGGGAAGAUGAGGUAAGAUGUUUUAUAUAAACCAUGGGAAGAUGAGGUAAGAUGUUUUAUAUAAACAAUGGGAAGAUGAGGUAAGAUGGUUUAAAUAAACCAUGGGAAGAUGAGGUAAGAUGGUUUAUAUAAACCAUGGGAAGGUUUACGGUAAGAUGUUUUAUAUAAACCAUGGGAAGGUUUACGGUAAGAUGUUUUAUAUAAACCAUGGGAAGAUGAGGUAAGAUGUUUUAUAUAAACCAUGUGAAGAUGAGGUAAGAUGUUUUAUAUAAACCAUGGGAAGGUUUACGGUAAGAUGUUUUAUAUAAACCAUGGGAAGAUGAGGUAAGAUGUUUUAUAUAAACCAUGGGAAGGUUUACGGUAAGAUGUUUUAUAUAAACCAUGGGAAGGUUUACGGUAAGAUGUUUUAUAUAAACCAUGGGAAGAUGAGGUAAGAUGUUUUAUAUAAACCAUGGGAAGGUUUACGGUAAGAUGUUUUAUAUAAACCAUGGGAAGAUGAGGUAAGAUGUUUUAUAUAAACCAUGGGAAGGUUUACGGUAAGAUGUUUUAUAUAAACCAUGGUAAGGUUUACGGUAAGAUGUUUUAUAUAAACCAUGGGAAGGUUUACGGUAAGAUGUUUUAUAUAAACCAUGCGAAGAUGAGGUAAGAUGUUUUAUAUAAACCAUGGGAAGGUUUACGGUAAGAUGUUUUAUAUAAACCAUGGGAAGAUGAGGUAAGAUGUUUUAUAUAAACCAUGGGAAGAUGAGGUAAGAUGUUUUAUAUAAACAAUGGGAAGAUGAGGUAAGAUGUUUUAUAUAAACCAUGAGAAGAUGAGGUAAGAUGUUUUAUAUAAACAAUGGGAAGAUGAGGUAAGAUGUUUUAUAUAAACCAUGGGAAGAUGAGGUAAGAUGUUUUAUAUAAACAAUGGGAAGAUGAGGUAAGAUGUUUUAUAUAAACAAUGGGAAGAUGAGGUAAGAUGUUUUAUAUAAACAAUGGGAAGAUGAGGUAAGAUGUUUUAUAUAAACCAUGAGAAGGGACACUCAUUGGUUAGGCCCUUUAUAUGACUUCAUGUUAUGACUAUAUGCCACUAUGUAUGUUGUCAUGACUACUGCGACAGUCUCCGAAUUGUAUAUUAAGGAUGAAUAUUGAAGAACUGAGCAUUAUGUGCAUCAUUUUAACAUUGUUACUCUAGUCUAAUUUAUUAGUUGUUCACAGCAAAGCUGCAUUUUUAUAAAAAAAUUCUUGACAUGGUCAAAUAUCUCAAGCAUAGAUUGGUAACUUCUUUUUCUUCAAAUUUGGCACACAGAAACUACAGGACUGACUUGAUCAAAAAGAAUGGUACUGAUUGACCUAUAGGUGGCGAAGUUAUAAGCAGUUAUAAAUCCUCAUAUCCGUCACCCCGUAUGACCUACAGCAGGGGUCUUCAACCUUUUCUUGGCCAGGGACCCCUUCCCACGGACCACUUCCCAGGGACCCCUUCCCAUGGACCCCAUGUCAUCAGAGACAUUACCAUGAUGAAACAUUGAUAUCUUAAAAAAUAUAUAUAUAGGAAACUAUUACCCAGGUGUCCUUUCUGCCAUCCUAUGAACCCUGUUCAUUGCUGCUUGCAGCUACAGUAUAUUUACCUUCUUCUUCAUAAAGGGAAAAUGCACACUUAAUUCUUGCCCUGCCUCCCUCCCUUUCUCUC